rnacentral:lncRNA from 1 species
AGUAUAAAUGAUUUGAAAGCCGUAUUAUUGGUAAAAAAAACAAUAUUUUCCUUUUAAUAUCCAAAUUAUUUUAGGAAAUAUUAAUAAGAACUCUACUAAUGAUUAUUCAAUUGUUAUUUGCAGGACUUAUUUCCCGGAGGAACGGAGACAACUUCCACAACGCUAGAGUGGAUAAUGUCUGAGUUGGUGAAAAAUCCUACCACUUUGAAGAAAGUGACAUCAGAGGUCAGACAAAAAAUUUCGAUAACUGAUGCAAAAACAGAUGACUGCGAUAAUAAUUUUAGCAACGAGAUGGGUUACAUGCAAAAUGUUAUCAAAGAAACCUUUCGACUCCAUCCACCAGUACCGAUUCUUCUUCCUCAUGAAUCUAGAGAGAAAUGUCAAAUAAAAGGUUACGAUAUAGAAGAGAAGACAACCGUCAUUGUAAAUGUUUGGGCGAUUGGAAGAGAUCCUAACAAAUGGAAAGAUCCAGAAAUAUUCAAACCAGAGAGGUUUGUUGGAAAUCCAAUCAAUUUCAAAGGAUCGCAUUUUGAUUUAAUUCCAUUUGGUUCUGGACGGAGAAUAUGUCCUGGUAUGACAUUUGGUCUUUCUAAUGUGGAACUUUCGCUUGCUACCCUUUUAUACAAUUUCGAUUGGAAAAUACCAAAUGAUGUUCCUGGAAAAGAUCUUGAUAUGGCUGAAAGUCUUAGAGGGACUCUUGGUAGAAAAAACCCACUCAUAUUGAUACCUGUAUUUCCUACUACUUAAUAAAGUAUUUUGUAAAUUAUUAUAGUAGAGUAAUUUUCAGACGAGUCAUUUUUUUGGUGAGUCCAAAAAACAGUCAAGAUAAAUGAACGUUUUUGGGCUCACGUCAGAUAGACUUUUCUGAACUUUCUUCUAUUACAGUAUUAUGUCUAUUUGAAAUAUUUUGAAAAUCUCUGUAUGAUGAGAAAUUUAACUCCAUUGCAGUUACCUCUGCUCGUCCUAAUUAUCAUUUCCGAAUAGUGUCUUAGGAAAAGAUUGUCUCGUCCGUACUCCAUUCGUGACCCGAUCCGUUCUCACUCUUAUUGAAAUUUUAAAAGGAUCGAGUCUCACAUGAGAUUCAGACUCUGCCCAGUUAAAUAUCGGGUAUCCAAUUAUCGGAUCCAUGGGCAAAAAAUAAAUAAAUAUGUUGUUCAUCGGAUUUUAAAUGAUAUUUUAGUUUCUAUGCUAUCAUGUAAUAAAAAAUAAAUCUGUAAAGGUUUAUAUGCACAAAAUGGCAGCCCACAGAGGCCCAUUAACAGACGCAACUUGGAAAGAAACCCUAGGUCCAUUGCUAUAUAUAUAUUUAGUUGUUUUCUUAUUUUUCUUCGGUGGUUCUUUCUCAGCGUUUCUCAAUUCUUCUCAUGUCUGUAUAUCUCGAUUCGUUUCUUUAUUAGUUAGAUCUAAUCUAUAGUUUUGUUGUUGUUUAUUCCUAUGAUUUGCAUCUGUUUUAUAUAUGAAUGUUCUCCUCAAAUCUGUUUCGUACAUUUUUAUUUGGGGUGGAUUUGAAUGAUGCAUAGAUCUACGGUUCGAUUUAUCAACACAUUGUGAUAUCUUAAUUUGCAAUGCUGUCAAACGCUCGAUCUAUAUUCUUUCUUUGUUUGAUGAUGAUUAUUUUUACGAUGCAAUAUUUUAGUUCUGAUUAUUCGAUUUUGAUCUUUUUUUUUUAAUGUUUUAGAUGAUUUAUCGUUUGCUUUCGAUUGUCUGAUAUCUUUCUGUUCUAUCAAUUGCUUCUAAACUUGAAUUUGCAAUGCCAACAAAUAUUGGAUCUUUAUUUCUUCUUGUAAUUCGAGUUCUGAUCAUUUAAUCCCUGCGAUUAAUUUCGUUUGUUCUUAUUUUUGUCAAUUUUUUAUUGAUUUAUUUUGAUAUUACGCAACCUCCAAAAUAGGAGCUUAAUUAGAUUUAAACUUAAAAUCAUCCAUUAACAUUUAAUUAAUUACUAGAUUUAGAUAUUAUAAUGACUGAGAAUUAAAUUUAUAAUCGCCCUACCCGUUCAUCUUUUUACCAAUAUACCCAAACACAUAGUUAAUACCACCUAAUCCAUCAUCAACCCAACUACCCUAAUUAACACCUUUAUAGCUGUUAAUCCUCAACUAAGUUACAUUUAUAAAUACACCCUCACAAUACAUGCAAUACAAGUAUAUAAGUUCUGUUCUACUUUAAUCUGGUUUGGAUUCAAAUCUCUGUCUCAAUCUCAAUCUGGUUUCCUGGUCUAUUGAAUCUGGAUCUUCGAAUCUAUCUAGGCAUCUCCGAUCUUCGUGAUGCCAAUCUGUUCCGGCACUUCUUCGAUCUUCAAUCAUCAAUCUGUUCAUCAUCAGUCAUCAUAUCUAAAUAUUACAAACAACAAUGAUUUAAUCAUAUAAAUUAUUAUAAAUAAAUCCAUACUGGAAUUCUAACAGUCUAUUAGUUAAAUUUAAAUUAAUUUAUCUAUUUUCUGGUCAAACAAUUAUGGUUUCGUUUUAUAAUUAAAUUUUAUUUUUUACCCAUAUGUUGUUGAGAUUCAAUCUUGGCUCAUUGCUUAAGGUCUUAUUUCUUGGUUUGUUUUAUAAAUAAAAGUUUUGGAUUCUUAUCAGAAUUUUAUACCAACCAUCGAUUUCGCUGUACAUUUGUCAAAUUAAGUUUUUUUUUUAAUUCGUUAUUCGUUUAUAAGGCUAAGAUUAAUUUUUUUUGACAAAACUGGUUUAUUGAUAAUUGACCACUGAAUUAUUGAAUCGACAUUCUUAAUUGGCUUAUUAAUAUGCGGUAGGUGGUGAAAACUACCCACCUAUAAACAUGAUAUUUUUUUGGAUAAUUGUUAAAUCUAACCACCUAAGGUUGGUUAGGAGUUAAAAUUACCCACCUAUAAAUUUUAUAUGACCAUUUUACCCUUACUUUUUUUUUAAAUUUUCUUUCACAUGCCAUUGUCGGGCAGAAAAAGAACCCACCCAUCGAUCUCCUCCCACCUCCUAUACUUCUAUUCUAACGUCGUCCUUCCUCCUCCAUUUCAUAGAGCCUCUGGAACCAACCAGAGUAGGAAACCAAAAAUCUAUCGCUGCUGCAUUCCAAGCAUGUGAUUCCCAACAAAUUGAUCCCAGCUAACUGCUUAUCCGGCUAAAAAACAAAAAUCCGAAUUAUAUUAACAGAAACCAAAAGAAGAAAGCUGAAUUAAAUCGUAGAGAUUGACAAUAAUACCAUGGUACUAGACACCAUACUGAGUACGUGGUCGAUCCAAGUGUCGAAUGCAUCCUUCCAAUUUUUAGCAAGCUUAGGAUUAUUCUUCGAGCUUACAGAUUCUCUGAGUAGACCAUGACUUUUGACGGUGGACACUGUGGAUAAGAGAUGGGAGAAGUUGACGAUGAUCUUGAUCGAAGAUAGCCGGCCGACGAUGAACACAUAGAGGAAUAGAGGAAGAAAUCGAGUAUGAGAGAUGUCGAGAAGCUGGAAUGUUGGUUGGAGAAAGGCUGGAAUCGAUAGAUGGAUUUGAGUUAGGUUUUUGAGAAUUUGGGAAUUAGAAAUAACAUUUAGAUAUUUAAGAUUUAUGGGAUUUAAAAAUAGAAAGUUCUUUAAAAAUAAAUGGUUUAACGGGUAAACGGGCAUGAGUAUAACCCACACAAUUUACUAAUAAGGGGCAAAUUAGGAAAUUUUAUACACUAACACACCCUAACCACCUAACACCUAAGAUUGGUGGGUAGUUUUGACCACCAAUCCAUUUUAGAUGGUUAGUUUUAACAUUUUCCCAAUUUUUUUUUGUAUUUUUUUCUUUUAAACUGUUCACUGAUGUCACAUGUCACAUGUGAAUGUGAUGUGUAGUAGGUAAUGAAAUUAGGAUUGAGAACGUGAUAGGUUUCGGUGGUCCUGCCUCGAUAUCUGUCCUCUUUUAUCAGAAUGGGACGCUUUUCUUCCCAACCCGAUGAAUGAUGCAGACGGGGCGUAUUUGGUUUGGUUUUUUUGAAAUUAUAAAAAAUAAUAAUUAAAAAAGUAAAUCUAAAAUAAACGUUUAAAAAUAUAAUAAUUUUAUAUCUAAAUUCUAAUAUGUUAUAAUUUAUUUAAAAAAAUAUAUUUUUUAAAUCGAGACAACUUGUUUGGGUUUCCAAGUUCCAACUGUUUGAAGACCCAACAGGUCGUAAAUAUGAUUGGGGUAAAAAGGGCACGACAUAACGGGUCGUCUGGUUCUCACUCAAAAAUUAAAUGAUGGUAGUAUGUAUGACUUUUAAAUAAUAGAAUAAUAGUUGCCAAAUUUGAAUAUAAUAGAUGCCAAAUUUGAAUCUUCUGAAUAUAAUACAUAAAUGUCAGAAUUUAACAAAUGUUAUUAUAGUUGAUUUAAUCUAUAUUUUUCUGCGGUCACAGGCUCAUGGCAUUUCCUAUUAUAAAUAGUUGAUGAGAUUAGAACGAUAUUAUUCAAUUCCAAUUCAAAUUCCACAAUUGCAAUGGAGUUCAAAUACCCAUCAUUUCUAUUAUUUUUCUCUUUGUUCUUACCUUUGAUGAUUUUGUUGAUUCUUAUCAAAAAGAAAAACAACAAAAGAUUGCCACCAGGACCGACAAAGCUUCCUAUCAUUGGGAAUCUCCAUAACUUAAUUUUUGCAGGUGACGAUCAUCUUCCUCGUGUGUUUGGAGAGCUCGCAAAGAAGCAUGGCACGUUUAUGCAUUUAAAAUUCGGUCAAAUCUCUCAAGUUGUCGUCUCUUCAUCCGAUCUUGCAAAAGAGUUUCUUAAAACCCAUGACAUCAACUUUGCAACUCGACCAGAUAAAUUCACGUCCAGACUUAUCUUUUACAAUAAUCGUGAUGUUGCGUUAGCGCCAUACGGCGAAUACUGGAGACAGAUGAAAAAAAUCGUUACUCUCGAGCUUCUCAGUGCGAAAAAGGUGAAGUUUUUUGACAGGUUAAGGAGAGACGAAGUGGGCAAAAUGAUCAACAUUCUCACCAAAGCUGCAACUAAUGGCACAUCGGUUAAUCUAAGUGAAAUGUUUCUUGUUUUUAACAACAACAUUUCCACUCGUUCUAUAUUUGGUGACAACAUUCGACAUCAGAAAGAAUUUCUGAAUGCUAUGAAGGUAGUAGUUGUUCUUGCAACUAGUUCCAAUUUUAGCAAUUUCUUUCCUCUUAUGGAAAAUUUCAUCGCCUGGUUGACUGGUAUGAAGCUUAAGACAGAAAAGACGCACAAGACAAUCGACAAUAUAUUAAAUACAAUCAUUGAUGAACAUCUUGGUAAAAAAAAUAACGACAAUUCGAUGGAAGAUGGCGAAGAAGAUUUCUUAGAUAUUCUUCUCAAACUUCAGAAGGAAAAUCAAUUUGGUUUUGAAUUUAGCAUAAAUGAUUUGAAAGCCGUAUUAUUGGUAAAAAACAAUUUUUUCCUUUUAAUAUCCAAAUUAAUUUUGGAAAUAUUAAUAAGAACUCUACUAAUGAUUAUUCAAUUGUUAUUUACAGGACUUAUUCCCCGGAGGAACGGAGACAACAUCCACAACGCUAGAGUGGGUAAUGUCUGAGUUGGUGAAAAAUCCUACCACUUUGAAGAAAGUGACAUCAGAGGUCAGACAAAAAAUUUCGAUAACUGAUGCAAAAACAGAUGAUUGCGAUAAUAAUUUUAGCAACGAGAUGGGUUACAUGCAAAAUGUUAUCAAAGAAACCUUUCGACUCCAUCCACCAGUACCGCUUCUUCUUCCUCAUGAAUCUAGAGAGAAAUGUCAAAUAAAAGGUUACGAUAUAGAAGAGAAGACAAGCGUCAUUGUAAAUGUUUGGGCAAUUGGAAGAGAUCCUAACAAAUGGAAAGAUUCAGAAAUAUUCAAACCAGAAAGGUUUAUUGGAAAUCCAAUCAAUUUCAAAGGAUCACAUUUUGAUUUAAUUCCAUUUGGUUCUGGGCGGAGAAUAUGUCCUGGUAUGACAUUUGGUCUGGCUAAUGUGGAACUUUCGCUUGCUACCCUUUUAUACAAUUUCGAUUGGAAAAUACCAAAUGAUGUUCCUGGAAAAGAUCUUGAUAUGGCUGAAAGUCUUAGAGGGACUCUUGGUAGAAAAAACCCACUCAUAUUGGUACCUGUAUUUCCUACUACUUAAUAAGUUAUUAUAGUAGAGUAAUUUUCAGGUGAGUCCAAAAAACAAUCAAGAUAAAUGAGCGUUUUUGGGCUCACGUUAGAUAGACUUUCUUGAACUUUCUUCUAUUAAAGUAUUAUAUCUAUUUGAAAUAUUUUGAAAAUCUCUUUAUGAGAAGUUUAACUCCAUUGCAGACUGCACGUCUUAAUUAUCAUUUCUGAAUAGUGUCUUAGAAAAAUAUUGUCUCUUCCGUACUCCAUUCGUAACCCGAUCCGUUCUCAUCCUUAUUGAAAUUUCAAAAGGAUCGAGUCUCACACGAGAUUCAGAUCCUGUCCAGUUAAAUAUCGGGUAUCCGGUUAUCGGAUCCAUGGGCAAAAUGGAUUUUAAAUGAUAAUCUAGUUUCUAUGCUAUUAUUUAAUAAAAAAGAAAUCUGUAAAGGUUUAUAUGCAAAAUGGCAGCCCACACAGGCCCAUUAAUACACGCAACUUGGAAGAAAACCCUUGGUCCGUUGCUAUAUAUGUAGUUAGUUGUUGCUUGCUUGUCCUUACUCUGGUUCUUUCUUCAGCGGCUCUUAUUUCUGUAUAUCUCAAUUCGUUUUUUUAUUAGUUAGAUCUAAUCUAUAGUUUUUGUUGUUGUUUAUUCCUGUGAUUUGCAUCCGUUCUAAAUACGAAUGUUCUCCUCAAAUCUGUUUCGUAUUUUUUUAUUUGGGGCGGAUUUGAAUGAUGCAUAGAUCUACGGUUUGAUUUAUCAACACAUUGUGAUAUCUUAAUUUGCAAUGCUGUCAAACGCUCAAUCUAUAUUCUUUCUUUGUUUGAUGAUGAUUAUUUUUACGAUGCAAUAUUUUAGUUCUGAUUAUUCGAUUUUGAUCUUUUUUUUUUAAUGUUUUAGAUGAUUUAUCGUUUGCUUUCGAUUGUCUGAUAUCUUUCUGUUCUAUCAAUUGCUUCUAAAUUUGAAUUUGCAAUACUAACAAAUACUGGAUCUUUAUUUCUUCUUGUAAUUCGAGCUUUGAUCAUUUAAUCCUUGCGAUUAAUUUCGUUUGUUCAUAUUUUUGAUUGAUUUUGAUAUUACACAACCUCCAAAAUAGGAGCUUAAUUAGAUUUAAACUUAAAAUGAUUCAUUAACAUUUAAAUAAUUACUAGAUUUAGAUAUUAUAAUUAGAGGUGAGCGACGACGGGAUCUUUAGAGUGUCAAACAACCCAAACUUUUGCUUAUAGAGGUAGUCUCGUGCUUGCUCGUUAAGAAAUUAUUCAGGCUCAAUCUUGGGCUUGCCGAGCUUGGUUUGGCUGAGCUCGGUCUCGGCUCGUUUUAAGAAUUGUUAGGCUCUGGUUCGAAUUAAAAAUAAUAAUUAUUUUUAGACAUUAAGGAUUGAACCUAUGACCUUUCAAAUACUGAACAAAAAUUUCACCAACCUACACCAUUAUUCUUUCUAACUAUUAUAUUUUUUUAAUUUUCCAUACUUCUUACCGUGGCUAUUGAGCUUAACGAUCCGAGCUUGACAUAUCCAAGCUUGAACUUGGCUCGUUAAGCUAAACAAGCUUGAAGAUUGGGCUCGUCUUGUUGGGUUUGCGAGCCUAAGCUUAAACGAGUCGGGCUUUUUUUGACACUUUAGCGAUCCUUGGUCAAAAAUCAGGGAGUCUCAAAGUCGUUCAUUGACCAUGGACGGGGAUCCUUGGUAGUAAUAUAUUUUUUUUUUAAACAAUAAUGUACUAAAUACUAAUGUUAUUACUUAAUACUUAUUAUUUACCAAAGUAAUUUAUUUAAAGUUAUGAAAUAAGAGUAUAAAAUAUUAUAAUUUAUAAUAAGAAUAUAAUAUUCCAAGUUUACAAUGUAGAAUAAAAAAGAUAUAAUAAAAUAUUGGAGAAAGAAGACAAAAAUGUAAUGGAAUCCUAGAGAAAAAAAAAUUGAAUGGAGAUAAAACUGUCAAAAAAAAAAAAAAAAAACAAAAAACAAAAAAAACAAAUGUAGUAUGAUAAAACUUCAUAUAGGCAAACAGCUUGCCUUACGGUUAAGAAGAAGUAGGAAUAAGAAAAAGAUGACGGUGAACUUGAUAAAAACUGUUCAGGAGACGUCGACGACAGCAAUGUGAUACCUUCCCAGAGUUUGGAAGGUUUCUGUCCACCGGAGAGGCUGAUCGGCGCUAGGGUUUUCCGUCCAAUCGCGUUUGGGGAAAACCGGAAUUAACUACCGGACGAAUUUUGUAAAAGAGAGAAAAAAGGGGGUGAAAAGGAAAAAUGUAAUUUUAGUUAAUCUUUUUUUAUAUUGAUUAACUCGUAAAAACAUUGAGUAAUCUUAAUUCUUAAUCACGUUUUAUUUAUACUAAUUACAAGACUGUUAACAGCUAAAACAAAUAACUAAUUUAACUCUAAUUUAUUUGGGCUGGAUCUUGAUUCGAGUCCGUUUGUGAUCCAAUCCGAUUAGCUGUAACAAUUCUGCACAAGUACACAAAAUUAUUAGUAAUGUCAAUCAGGUCUAUUUGACCAGAUUUAUUUUGUGUUAUUUGCAUAACAGUCCUCAAGUUAAUUAUAACUGAAUAAUUGAAACUUUUACGCUUCGAUCCUUGUAUUUCUGAAUCUUAGUUAUAUUACAAAAACCUUUAGUUUCUUUUAAUUACGCUUAGGUCCAACUAACGUUUAUUGAAACUUUUAUAAAUGAAACCUUGUUAUUUUAUAACAAAACAGUUAAUUCUGUUUUGUCAUAACCCUUAGGUUAUUUAUAUUACAUUUAAAUCCUAAGCUUGUUUCUAUGGUAAAUUGCUUAUUUACCCUGUAUUUCAGUUAUAUUCUUAUAGAACUACGGUAAGAAUAAAAACAACUAUUGCUAACUGCUAAGAACAAUGGUCCGGUGGCUACUUGGAGUUGAAGAUUAGGUACAAAAAUGCAGGUACCGGAUACGAAGAAUCUCGCCCCUAAAUAUAAUGACUGAGAAUUAAAUUUAUAAUCGGUCCAUUAGUUAAAUUUAAAUUAAUUUAUCUAUUUUCUGGUCAAACAAUUAUGGUUUCGUUUUAUAAUUAAAUUUUAUUUUUUACCCAUAUGUUGUUGAGAUUCAAUCUUGGCUCAUUGCUUAAGGUCUUAUUUCUUGGUUUGUUUUAUAAAUAAAAGUUUUGGAUUCUUAUCAGAAUUUUAUACCAACCAUCGAUUUCGCUGUACAUUUGUCAAAUUAAGUUUUUUUUUUAAUUCGUUAUUCGUUUAUAAGGCUAAGAUUAAUUUUUUUUGACAAAACUGGUUUAUUGAUAAUUGACCACUGAAUUAUUGAAUCGACAUUCUUAAUUGGCUUAUUAAUAUGCGGUAGGUGGUGAAAACUACGGUUGAUUUCAAUCACAUUAAUCUAAUCAGAUUAAAUUGACUCGAGUCUACUUAUUCUAGAUUCUCUUCGGUAGAAUAAACAUGAUAAACACUGAUGUCACAUGUGAAUGUGAUGUGAUGUCACUGAUGUCACAUUUAAAUCUUCUGAAUAUAAGACAUGUUUAUUUAAAUGUCAGAAUUUGACAAAUGUUAUUAUAGUUGAUUUAAUCAUGGCAUUUCCUAUUAUAAAUAGUUGAUGAGAUUAUAACCAUAUUAUUUAAUUCCAAUUCAAAUUCCACAAUUGCAAUGGAGUUCAAAUGCCCAUCAUUUCUAUUAUUUUUCUCUUUGUUUUUACCUUUGAUGAUUUUGAUGAUUUUGUUGAUUCUUAUCAAAAAGAAAAACAACAAAAGAUUGCCGCCAGGACCGACGAAGCUUCCUAUCAUUGGGAAUCUCCAUAACCUAAUUUUUGCAGGUGACGAUCAUCUUCCACGUAUGUUUGGGGAGCUCGCAAAGAAGCAUGGCACGUUUAUGCAUUUAAAAUUCGGUCAAAUCUCUCAAGUUGUCGUCUCUUCAUCCGAUCUUGCAAAAGAGUUUCUUAAGACUCAUGACAUCAACUUUUCUUCUCGACAAGAUAUAUUCACAUCUAGACUUCUCAUGUACAACAAUCGUGAUGUUGUAUUUGCACCUUAUGGUGAAUACUGGAGACAGAUGAGAAAAAUCGUCACUCUCGAACUUCUCAGUGCGAAAAAGGUGAAGUCUUUUAACAGGUUAAGGAGAGAGGAAAUGGUCAAAAUGAUGGAUAUUCUCACCAAAGCUGCAAGGAAUGGCACAUCGGUCAAUUUAAGUGAAAUGUUUCUUAUUCUCAACAACAACAUCUCCACUCGUUCUAUGUUUGGUGACAACCUUAGACAUCAGACGGUAUUUCUGGAUGCUAUGAAGGAAGUAGUUGUUCUUGCUACUAGUUCCAAUUUUAGCAAUUUCUUUCCUCUUUUGGAAAAUUUCUCUGGUUGGUUGACAGGUAUGAAACUUAAGGUAGAGAAGACGCACAAGAUAAUCGACAAAAUACUUAAUACAAUCAUUGAUGAACAUCUUGGUAAAAUAAAUAACGACAAUUCGAUGGAAGAUGGCGAAGAAGAUUUUUUAGAUAUUCUUCUCAAACUUCAGAAGGAAAAUCAAUUUGGUUUUGAAUUUAGUAUGAAUGAUUUGAAGGCGGUGUUUUUGGUAAAAAAAAAGAAUAUUUUUCUUUAUUAAUAUCCAAGAAAAUAUUAAUAAGAACUCUACUAACGAUUAUUCCAUUGCUAUUUUGCAGGACUUGUUUAUUGGAGGAACAGAGACAACAUCCACAACGCUAGAGUGGAUAAUCUCCGAGUUGGUUAAAAAUCCUACCACUUUGAAGAAAGUGACAUCAGAGGUCAGACAAAAAUUUUCGAUAACUGAUUCAAAAACAGAUGACUAUGAUAAUAAUUUUAGCAAAGAGAUGGGUUAUAUGCAAAAUGUUAUCAAAGAAAGCUUUCGACUCCAUCCACCAUCACCGCUUCUUAUUCCUCAUGAAUCUAGAGAGAAAUGUCAAAUAAAAGGUUACGAUAUAGAAGAGAAGACAAGCGUCAUAGUAAAUGUUUGGGCGAUAGGAAGAGAUCCUAACAAAUGGAAAGAUCCAGAAAUAUUCAAACCAGAGAGGUUUAUUGGAAAUCCAAUUGAUUUCAAAGGAUCACAUUUUGAUUUAAUUCCAUUUGGUUCUGGGCGGAGAAUAUGUCCUGGUAUGACAUUUGGUCUUGCUAAUGUGGAACUUUCGCUUGCUACCCUCUUAUACCAUUUCGAUUGGAAAAUACCAAAUGAUCUUCCUGGAAAAGAUCUUGAUAUGGCUGAAGGUUUUAGAGGGACUCUUGGUAGAAAAAAUCCACUCAUAUUGGUACCUGUAUUUCCUACUACUUAAUAUAGUAUUUUGUAAGUUCUUAUAGUAAGGCAAUUUUCAUGUUAGUCAAAAAUGUCCUGAUCAUUCUGAUCAUCCAUUGUUUCAUCUUCAUAUUUUCUAUUACAAACAGUUGUGAGAAUAAAUGAUAUUUGUAAAAUUUUAGACGGUCAAAAUAAACAAGUGUUUUUGAGCUCACAUUAUAUAAACUUUCCUGAACUUUUUAUUAUUAUAAUAUUAUGUCUAUUAGAAAUAUUUUAAAAAUCCCUUUAUGAUGAGAAGUUGAACUUCAUUGCAGUUAUCUCUGCUAGUCAUAAUUAUCAUUUCCUAACAGAGUCUUAAGAAAAAAUUAUCUUGUCCGUACUUUAUUCAUGAUCCGAUCCGUUCUCACCCUUAUUGAAAUUUCAGAAGGAUCGGGUCUUACAUGAGAUGCAGAUCCUGUCCAGCAAAUAUCGGGUAUCCGGUUAUGAUGAGAAUGUUCUGUGAGAACUAUUUGAGAACCAUUGAAUUGUCUGUGAUCAUUUUGUAAUCAUUCAUUGGUGAAGUACUAUUUUACAUCAUUCAAUGACAUAACUGCAACACUACGUACUAAGAACUUCGAACAGACGGGAGGAUACCGUCUGUCCAAAAUUCCUCCGGUGUUUUACUCUCUUCAUUGGCCAUCUAUAUGCCUCUUACCAACAUUCGAAACCAAUUCUAUCCCUACCUCUGUCUUCCUCUCUACCUUUUUAGUCUUCACCGGUCUUUUAUUUUCAAAACUUUUUUUAUCCCUUCCUCCGAAUCCGGCGAUGUCGAAUGCUAGCGGCGCUCGUGAUGGGAAGGUCCGAGCCAGAGCAAAGUCAUCCCCGUUGAGAUUAGACGCGACGGCGUCUCUAUUUUUAUAGGUUCACUUUGGGCAUCUUUUUCUUCUUCUUCCUCUGAUCCUCUUCCGUGUUGGCUUCUCAAAUAAGAAGUUGUUUUUCUAGAUUAUGCUUGUUCUUCCAUGUUGGGUUGUGAAAUAUUUUGCACUCCAUGUUGGGUUUGUAAUCUUUUUUCUUCCUCUAUUUCUCCCAUUCUCACCCUCUGUAAUUUCUGACUGCCAUGGAUCGUAGUUUUUUUUCUUUUAUUUCUUCUUCCUCUUCCGUGUUGGGUUCCUUAAUAAAAAAGUUGAGCUUCUAGAUUUUUCUCUUUCUACCAUGUAUGUUUCAUUGUCGAACAAUUAGAUGUCGGUUUUGGGUUGUGUAAUAUUUUUUCUUCCUCUAUUUCUCCCAUUCUUUUUUUUGUCCAGAUUAACUCCGGUUCUGUUCUGCUAUUGCCGGCCUCAGCAUUACCGGAGUUGGCAUCACUUAUGGAAGAACCUCCGCUGGAAUUGGAUCGAUGUUCAUCUGUUAAGAAGAAAACUUGAUGUCUCGUGCUUCGAUCACCGUUGUUUUCUUCCAAUGCGAAGAAUCUGUUGACUGCGGAGGUUGUUCCGUCUCUUCAUAUUAUUGCAUUUUCUCUAUGAAAUGGGCUAUGAAAUUUUAUUUUAUUUUCUCUUUAAUUUUAUUUUAUUUUAUUUUAUUUUUUCUUUGAUUUUAUUUUCAAUUAUCAAUAUUGGAUAACAAAAUAAAUUAGGUGCGCAUUUUCUGAGAGUGCGAAGGCAUUCCAGCCUUUGAUUUUACCGUAAGAAAUUUGCGUCACACAUUUUUUUUGCAACCUUAUGGGUUGCGUCAGUUUGCAACCCACGUUGUGUUGUUUUAUUUUUUUUAAAUUUUUUUUUGUUCUUUUCUUUCUUCCACCUACCUUCUAUUCUUUUUAUUUUAUUUUUUCUCUUUGUUUUUUUUUCUGACCAUCUUGUCAUCAUUAAAUGUUUUUAACAUCCAUCAUCCAUCUUCUCCUCCAUUUAUGUCUCCAUCGUCCUUGUCUUCAUUUUUUUUUUGAUGGUGUUAAUAUCCUAGUAAUGUAAUGCUACAUGUUUUAUCGUUAAUGCUGAAAAUUCGAAAAUAUUUCAAAUCGUUUUAUUUUCUUAUCUUACAUCUUCUAUCAUUUUAUUCUUUACUCAUCUUCAACCUUCUUUCCAUCUCAAGUUCUUCACAGAGCACUAUAUCUUCAUCUCAUUUUCUCCCUUCAAUCUUGGAUACGGUUUUCGGUCUUCUUCUUCUUUGGUUAUAUUUAUUUAUAACAUCAAAGUAUGUUUCAAAAUUCAUUAAAUGUUAUUGAUCAAUCAUCACCUUUACAACAACCUAACAUUGAGCCCCAAAGCACCAUUCAUUUCUCUCAUAAUUCCUCCUCUAUAUAUAUAUAUCACACCUCCCUCAUAUCGUCCCCUUCAUGCCCAACCAUUGAUUCCACCACACAUCGUCCUAGACAUCAGUAUAAUGUUAAUCUUGAUUUUUACUCUAUCCAAACCGAAAAACCAUCUGAUUGUAAUCGUAAUGAAACUCAUGGAAAUGUUCAAUGUUCAAGAAUCAUUGAUUUCCCACUUAUUCCUAAUGCUAAUUAUGUUUCUCAUCAAUACCAUGACACUCUAUUAAACAAGCUGUAUACUCCUAUUUCUUCAGAGAAUAAUGAUGUCACUGGACUAUCUAAUCCUAUUAAUUCUACCGACAAUGCUUCUCCUAGUUUUUUCGUUCCCAAACAACCCAUUGAUACCAAUUCUUCUUCAGACAAUUUUAAAGUGAAUUCAACACCCUUUUCUGGUCAAAUUUUUUCCUCAUAUUCUGAUGCUAUUGAUCAAUAUUAUGGUUAUGCGUCGAAAAUGGGUUUCUCCGUUCGUUUGGGUUCCACGAACUAUAAAUCUAGUAAGGAUGAUGGUAAAAAAAAUUUAGUUAUAGGCCAAGAUAUCAUUACUGCUUGUAACCUACCUACUAAUGCUAUUAGUACUAGGUCAUGUUGUAAAUGAACGAACGAGACGCUUCUACGACUGGUCGUAAUGCUAUUAUGUGUGUGCUCAAUGAACAUAGGUCAAGAUAUCCUUACUGCUUCUAACCUACCUACUAAUGUUAUUACUACUUGGUAAUGUUGCAAAUGAACGACUGAGAUGUUUCUACGACUGUUUGUAAUGCUAUUAUGUGUGUGCUCAAUGAACAUAGGUCAAGAUAUCCUUACUACUUGUCACCUACUUACUAAUGCUAUUACUACUUGAUAAUAUUGUAAAUGAACGAACAAGAUGCUACUACGAAUGGCCGUAAUGCUAUUAUAUCUGUGUUCAAUGAACAUAGGCCAAGAUAUUCUUACUACUGCUUGUAACCUACCUUCUAAUGCUAUUAUUACUUGAUUAUUUGUAAAUAACGAAGGAGAUGCUUCUACGACUGUUUUGGUGAGACAUGCCUGAUUACACCAGUCACUACCCAUCAACGCCUCUCAACAAGGACUAGGGCUCCGUCGCUAUGGCAGGACCCCCGGAGAGCUCCCACGGUGCGGAACAUCGUUCUUCGUCCAGAUCGCCGAGUUAGCCCGUAAGUCGCCCGAUUGGACUACCAAGUCGCCGACAUACAGGAUAACUCGCCGAGUUAAGGCAAGAUCGGCAGUAUGGUAGACUGUACGACUUGGCCCUAGAAACUCGCCGAGUUAGCCCUUAACUAGGCGACUUCCAUACCUGAAUCGGCGACUUACGACCGUUACUCGGCGGCAGCCAACGUCAUAAAUGUUACCAUAUAUGACCAUAGGCGCGAUCUCCGCCGAUGAGUGCGCCCUCCGAGACCCUAUAAAAGGGGUCUCAAGGGGACACUCAAAGGCACGAUUCAAGUUCCACUCUCACACCAGAGCACUACACUACGAAACUCGGCGAGUCUCAUUAGAAUCGCCUAGUUUCACUUGCAGGUAUUUUGACGUAGAGCGUGCGUCGUGGACUCCAAAGCCUCCAGCAUCAACCUCGCACCACCGCGAACCCUGGUAGCAGAUUCAGUGCUUCAUCAGCUAGCGCCGUCUGUGGGACUACCGAACCACCGGUAUCCUGUCGUAAUCGUGAUUUUUUAAAAAUCCGGCUCGAGCUCUCCCGAGAGUUCGCCGAGUUUGUCAAAAAAUCGCCGACAUAGAUCGUCCGAUUCUCGGUUAACGUCCGAUUUAGCCUUAAAUCGCCGACUUAUCCUUGAGAAUCGCCCGAUCCGGAAUAUCGUCUGCUAGCUAAGAGUGCUGUCCAUGACCUUGUUCGGAAAACACCUAACUUGCCGAGUUAACACUUAACUCGCCGACUUAGCUCCCGUUUUUUCAACAGGCUCGGUCAGGUACCUCUCUGCUUUGGUACUUCUUUGCUUCCGCUUUCAUGGCAAUCAUCGAAAAGCAGAAGCACCCUUACGCAACAAGGAGUAAGGGAAAAAUGUCAGCAACUGAGCUGGAACAGGGUGAGCAAUCCCCAACUAAGAGACCCAAUGCUCAACCUGUGGAAACAAACUCGGUUCCUCCUCCUGUCGAGGAACAUAUUGUGCCCAAGGCUCCACCCACCUUGGAGGAAAGGUUGUUCAGCUUCAUGGACAACAUCGAAAGAAGGAUGACCAACCUCGAGCAAGCGAGGAAUCAUAGGACCACCACCAUCAGUGAAAGAGCGGAUGAGUCUGGGUCCAUCUAUUCUCCAUCUGGGGAGAAAAAACAGAGUUCCCGUCCCAAGACGAGACCCAGUAAGAGUCGCUCCGAGAGGACUCUUACUACUCGGUUCGUAGAGGAUCUUCGGCGGAAGUUGGCCACCGACCCAGCCGUCGGCAACCUGCACGAAGUCCUAAGGGUUAAAAGUGCUCCUCUUAGCGAGGACCUUUUAAAGGGAGUUUUCCCACCCAACUGGUGGGUACCAAGAAUCGAGGCGUACGACGGUUCAAGUGAUCCAGAAGAUCACGUGAACCUCUACCUCAACAUCUUGGAACCGCAAACCAUCGAUGAUGGGCUGCUGUGUCGGGCAUUCCCUGGCACUCUCAAGGGCAGCGCUUAUCGAUGGUUCUCUGGUCUGCCAGCUGGCUCAGUCACCAGCUUUGCAGACCUCUCAUCCAAAUUCAUCGCCCAGCACGUGGGGAUGAUAAGGAUAAAACAUAGUGCCAACGCACUCCUGGCACUGAGACAGGACAAAAUGUCUCUGAGGGAUUACACGGUCAAGUUCACCACUAUGAUGACAGAGGUGAACAACCUAAUCCCGAGUGUGGCCAUAGUGGGAUAUAUUAGAGGAUUAGUCCCCUACUCCCCUCUGGCCCAAAAUCUGACUCUCUACAAGGUGAGUUCUCUGCCCGACCUCUUCCAACGCGCUCAAUUGUACAUUGAGGUGGAAGAGGAGGAUGAGAACAAGCUAGCUGAACAUGGGACUCCUAGCUAUAAAAAGCCUAAGUAUGAGAGGAAGGGGUAUAGCGGAAACAACAAUUUCCGCGACACCUCUAACAGGUAUACCAGUAACAAGGCCGAGCCUUCCAAAAAAGAAUGGAAGCCUAGGCAUGAUAACAAGGUAUACCAGACCUCAACCAGCAAACCGUCUAAGGGUGCAAUUCCACUAUGGAAAAAGAACACCCCGCUUAUAAUAAGCAAGGGCGAGCUGUUUGAGAAACUAAAGGGUCGAGCGGACCUACCUGUCCCUCGCUCUUUAGACCCUACAGGCAAAGAGGGCCGCAUGCAAUCUGGGAAAUACUGUGAAUUUCACAAAGACUGCGGCCACUUAACAGACCACUGUAGGGAGUUCUCGACUUUCGUCGAGCAGCUGAUCUCUAAGAGUGAACUUGGCAACUUCGUCAAGAAAUCCCGAGGAAGGGACAACUGCAAAUCUGACCCAAAGGGGAAGCUUCCACGCACUCCUUCGCCAGAUAGCGACAACAGCGAGAACCGCCAGCGGAAGACCAUCAAUAUGAUAUUUGGUGGUGGAUCCGUUGGCCAGAAUAGGGGGUACUCCCGAAAGGUGCUGAUGUCACAAUCAACACCUCGAGACAACGGAAAGCGGGUCCGCGAGGAGAAGUCAAUAUACUUCUUCGAAGAGGACCUGGACGAUGUCUUGCAGCCUCACGAGGAUCCACUCGUGAUCCAAGCAGACAUCGGGCCUAAUUCCCGAGUCGAGAGGAUGAUUGUCGAUAGCGCAGCUCUGCGGAUAUCCUCUACAUGGAUACUUUUACCAAGAUGGGCCUUAAAAGGGAGGAACUAUCUCCCUGUAAGGAAGCCAUCUACGGUUUCACUAACAUCGCCGCCCCAGUUGCCGGUGUUAUUGACCUAAAGGUAUCCAUCGGUUCCAAGCGAGGAAGGGUUAGCCGAACAUGCCGCUUCAUAGUAGUAGAGGUAGAAUCUACUUUCCAUGGUAUUUUCGGACGCCCCUUCAUCCACGGAAUCCAAGCAGUCCCGUCUUCUUAUCACCAGUGCAUUCAAUACCCAGUAAACGGGUUCGUUGCAACUGUCAAAGGAUCACAAAAAGAUUCUAGACAAGGGUAUAAGAAGGCAACCCAGCUGACUAAACUCGACAACAUGCUCGUCCACGCCCCGCCUAACACUGAGGAGAGGGAAAAACUACAACCUGUGGACGAGACCGAGGUAUACCAGCUGGUGGGGGGACAUGUGGCACUAGGGAAGGGGUUACCCCCUAACCUAAAAGCCAAGCUUGUGACUGUCCUGGAGGAGCACCAGGACAGCUUCGUUUGGGAGGGUGAGGCACCGACACAGAUUGCGCGUCAGAUCGUGACGCACAAACUAAAUGUCGACUCAUCCAUUCCAGCUCGACGCCAAAAACGUCGAGUACUCACUUCUGACAGGCGGGAGGCAGCCAAUGAGGAAAUAUCGAAACUCUUGAAUGCAGGGCACAUUCGGGAAGUUCGAUACCCGACUUGGUUGGCCAACCCCGUUCUGGUCAAGAAUCCCAAUAGCAAAUGGCGCAUGUGCAUUGAUUUCACGGAUCUCAAUAAAGCAUGCCCCAAGNNNNNNNNNNNNNNNNNNNNNNNNNNNNNNNNNNNNNNNNNNNNNNNNNNNNNNNNNNNNNNNNNNNNNNNNNNNNNNNNNNNNNNNNNNNNNNNNNNNNNNNNNNNNNNNNNNNNNNNNNNNNNNNNNNNNNNNNNNNNNNNNNNNNNNNNNNNNNNNNNNNNNNNNNNNNNNNNNNNNNNNNNNNNNNNNNNNNNNNNNNNNNNNNNNNNNNNNNNNNNNNNNNNNNNNNNNNNNNNNNNNNNNNNNNNNNNNNNNNNNNNNNNNNNNNNNNNNNNNNNNNNNNNNNNNNNNNNNNNNNNNNNNNNNNNNNNNNNNNNNNNNNNNNNNNNNNNNNNNNNNNNNNNNNNNNNNNNNNNNNNNNNNNNNNNNNNNNNNNNNNNNNNNNNNNNNNNNNNNNNNNNNNNNNNNNNNNNNNNNNNNNNNNNNNNNNNNNNNNNNNNNNNNNNNNNNNNNNNNNNNNNNNNNNNNNNNNNNNNNNNNNNNNNNNNNNNNNNNNNNNNNNNNNNNNNNNNNNNNNNNNNNNNNNNNNNNNNNNNNNNNNNNNNNNNNNNNNNNNNNNNNNNNNNNNNNNNNNNNNNNNNNNNNNNNNNNNNNNNNNNNNNNNNNNNNNNNNNNNNNNNNNNNNNNNNNNNNNNNNNNNNNNNNNNNNNNNNNNNNNNNNNNNNNNNNNNNNNNNNNNNNNNNNNNNNNNNNNNNNNNNNNNNNNNNNNNNNNNNNNNNNNNNNNNNNNNNNNNNNNNNNNNNNNNNNNNNNNNNNNNNNNNNNNNNNNNNNNNNNNNNNNNNNNNNNNNNNNNNNNNNNNNNNNNNNNNNNNNNNNNNNNNNNNNNNNNNNNNNNNNNNNNNNNNNNNNNNNNNNNNNNNNNNNNNNNNNNNNNNNNNNNNNNNNNNNNNNNNNNNNNNNNNNNNNNNNNNNNNNNNNNNNNNNNNNNNNNNNNNNNNNNNNNNNNNNNNNNNNNNNNNNNNNNNNNNNNNNNNNNNNNNNNNNNNNNNNNNNNNNNNNNNNNNNNNNNNNNNNNNNNNNNNNNNNNNNNNNNNNNNNNNNNNNNNNNNNNNNNNNNNNNNNNNNNNNNNNNNNNNNNNNNNNNNNNNNNNNNNNNNNNNNNNNNNNNNNNNNNNNNNNNNNNNNGUAAAAAUCCAUAGCCCGGAUGGAAAAAACUACGAACACUCGGUCCGACUUCACUUCCCGGCUUCUAACAACGUCGCGGAAUAUGAAGCGGCCAUACAUGGCCUGAAGCUGCUAAGAACUCUCGGCGCUGAGAAUGUCACGCUCCGCACUGACUCCCAGCUCGUGGCUCGGCAAACCACUGGUUAAUUUGCUUGUAAGGAACCACAAAUAACAAAGUAUGUGGAAGCAAUGGUAGAUCUCACCAAACAAUUCGCCGAGUUCAAAAUCGAGCAAAUCCUUCGAAUUCAAAAUUUACCCGCUGACGCUUUAGCACGUCUAGCGUCAGCUUGGGAGGGAGGACAGCGCGAGAUUUUAGUGGACUCUAUACUGCAGCCCACAUGCCAAGUAUUGGCUGUCACUUCCGACCCUCAAGAGGAUUGGAGGCAACCAAUACUGGCGUUCAUCCAGAAUGGAGUGCUUCCUAACAACAAAGGGGAGGCCAAAAAAUUAAAACACAGAGCAGCAAAAUACUGUGAUGUCGGAGGGGUACUUUACAAAAAGUCCUUCGAUAGUCCUUUGCUACGCUGUUUGGCCCAACCCGAUACUAGUAGGGUUCUCCAGGAAGUACAUGAAGGCUCAUGCGGACUCCAUGAAGGGGGAAGAGCAUUAGCCUUCAAAAUCAUAAGGCUCGGGUACUAUUGGCCCACCUUAAGGUUGGAAGCUCGCACUUACGUCCGCAAGUGCCGAGCAUGUCAGCUGCACAGCCCUAUGCAGCAGAAACCAUCCGCGGAAAUGACUCCGAUCCUGAGCUCAAUCCCAUUCGCAAGAUGGGGGUUGGACAUCGUAGGGCCAUUCCCCCCCUCUACAUCACAGGCUCGAUUCAUCUUUGUAGCAGUAGACUACUUUACAAAAUGGGUCGAGGCUCAGGCUGUGGCGAAAAUCACUCAGGAUGCGGCAGUCAAAUUUAUUUAUCGCUCCAUAGUCUGUCGAUUCGGCAUUCCCCAAGACAUUGUCACGGACAAUGGCUCACAGUUCACGGGGGGAAAAUUUUCAAGAAUGUGCGAGGACCUAAACAUAAAGCUCCACUUCGCCUCCGUUUACCGACCUCAGGCAAACGGGCAAGUGGAGGUCACCAACAAGGCCAUCGUACAAGGAUUGAAAAAGAAAAUUGAAUCAGCCAAAGGGGCCUGGGCGGACAAGUUGUGCGAAAUCCUAUGGGCAUAUCGCACAACGAGUAAAAACCCCACGGGCAACACCCCUUUUGCCAUGACCUAUGGAGUGGAAGUAGUCGUACCAAUCAAGAUGAGUAUACCAACGUAUCGAGUCUCGAAGUACGACCAACAAGUAAAUGACCAAAACCUAGCCGCAGAGCUAGAGCUAAGGGAUGAAACCCGUGACGAGGCAGACCUGCGAAACGAAUCGUACAAGGCUAGCGUAUCAAGAUACCACAACCGCCAAGUACGCAAAAAAGUUUUCCUGCCAGGAACUCUCGUCACGCGGAAGGCUAGCAUAACAGAAAGGAAUAGGCCAAGAAAUAAACUAUCUUCCAACUUCGAAGGUCCCUACAUCGUUGAGGAGGAGAUAAGGCCAGGAACUUAUCGUCUACGACGGCAGGAUGGAACAAUGGUUCCUAACACCUGGCAUGCGGACAACAUGCAGCAGUACUACGCAUAGUACUCACAAGCAUCAAGUUUAUUUUCUUUAGCUUUCCUAGUAUGUAUGUUAGUUAGUGAUAAAAUAUAGUUACGCAUUCUAACCCGUAUGGAUACCCUAAAUCUAUUGUGUCGCUUUGGCCUCAAUAGAAUAAAGAUCAUUCCGUCGCUACGGCCCUAAUGAUCCUAUCCAAUCCUGUCGCUAAAGAGCCUUGAUAUGGAUCAAUAAGUCGCUAAAGAGCCUUGAUAUGGAUCAAUAAGUCACUCCCUCACUAGGAGUCGGACUAAAUCGUCAAAGGUUCAAAUCCAGGGUUAGAACAAAUAGGUCCAACUCAGACACGCGUUGCGACCACAAUUCUUAUUCGCACGAGCGAAUCAAGAACUAGUGGACAUCAAACCACUUUCUCCUAUCGAACUUAGCUACGAUUCAUACGACCAAACUUACGUCCUAAGUGGCUAAGAAUCUAACUUACGUCCAAAAGCGACUAAGUUACGAUUUGGGAAGUCAAGUUUUUCCAAACUCACGUCCUAAGUGACUAAAAUUCUAACUUACGUCCAAAAGCGACUAAGUUACGAUUUGAGAAUCUAGUUUAAGUUCAACUAAACCUACGUCCUAAGUGGCUAAGUAAAGUUGAAGGAAUCUAACUUACGUCCAAAAGCGACUAAGUUACGAUUUAUGAUUUUAGUUUAGAUCCAACUACGAUUCGCACGACUAAACCUAUGUCCUAAGAAUCUAAAUUACGUCGAAAGCAACUAAGUUACGAUUUAUGAAUCUAGUUAACUCUAAAAACACAUUAGCAAAAAAGGUGAUUUCAUUAACACAAAAGAUGAAAUUACAUAAUCCACUACAAAAUUUUAAGAAGAGAAACUAGUUCUAUCCUAAUCCUCUUCUUUCCUCGCGUUACGAACAUCGCUCUUGAUCUUAUCUAAAGCUUCCUUGUGCUCUAGCUGCACUUCGGGAUGUUCCUCCAGCCACGCCAUAAUAUCUGAAAUGUAGUUGGCAGGCAGAGUGGUAAAAACAUGAGGUCCGAAAAAGUUCACGUCUUGGAGUUGAUCGGAUUGACCAUCAACUUCGAACUCCAAGUUCUUCACUUUUUCGGAAGAAGCGUCCAGAGCUUCCUUCAUCUUCUUCAACUUCUCCGUGGAUCGAGAGAAGCGAUCUUCCAAAUCUAUACGAGCGGAAGCGGAAUCAGACAGUUCAACUUUCAAUUUCUGAAUCUCAGUUUCAGAAAUCAUUGCAUUCCCCACUUCCACAUCAAGCUGCGUCUUCAGUGCAUCAACUUGUUUUCUAGCAGCAGUGAGAAGCGACUCAUUAUCUUUCAUAAAGUCACAGCUUCGGCGAAGAUCAGAAAUCUCAGAUCGGUGCACAUCGCACUCUUUGUUCUUCGCCGCCAUCGCUUUCUCGUGCUCGGCAGCUUGUUCCUCCAACUUCUUAUUCCGUUGGAGGGUCUUUCUCAACGACCACACCUCUUUGCAGACAGCUUGAUACUUGUCAUCAAGCUUAUUGUACUCCUGUUGGGAACGGAGGGUGUCGUUUGCAGACUGCAUCCCAAUAGUUGCAUUAGACAGAUACGCGACCUACAAAAAAACUAUCAAUUAGUAAAAUAAAAUGAAACAAAUAUAAAUGGAAAGCGAUUGCGAAUCACUUACAACAGAUAUAGCUUUUCCAAGCUCUUCGCGUAUCCAGUCCCCAGGCUUAGUCUGAAGCAGCUGGGCAGCCUUCCUCCGCACCCCUUCAUCGGCAAACAAGCCCGGAUAGUCAAAUGUGGUGCGAAAGGGGGCGGAUUCAGGUGCAGACCUCGAGCUAGAUCCAGUCUCGAAGGUACUGCGAGGGCCAGUCUCUUGGGCCUUCCUUUCUCUGAUCAGCUUGGCGCCGCGAAGUCUCACGGCCAAGUGUGGAAGCACCGCCUCUCGGUACAGAUGUGCACCCUUCUUCUUCUUGAUUGGAUUUCCAGAAGGGUCCUCUGACCGGUUGUAGCGUGUCACGUCAGAAAAUGUAAAGUCCUCUCGCUGACACAAAGCGAAAUGAACUCCUUGCCCACAUUCAAAAGAAGCGAGGGCAGAAGAGAUCUUCUUCACCCGCUUCAAUUCUGCCUUGCUUAGGGCGCAAGGAACGUCCAGGUGUACGCGGCGAGCGUUGGCCCACCUCUCACGGCUCCCGCAUACAAAUGUAGAUUCAACAAAAAAGAACUCACUCUUCCACUGGGGCCCAUAGUUAGUGGGGAGUUCAAUUAUCAGCUCUUGUCCGCUGAACCGCUUUGCUAGCCCCAACCGACCAGAUUCGGAAGCGGGCGCCUUCACAAACUUGAAAAACCAGAAGAAUAAGGGGCGGUCGCGGGUAUGUUCAGACUCCAACAGAUGUUGGAGAAUCCUCUCAGAUAUACAAAAAAAGCUGCCUGCAUCUGCGACAGCGACACCCCACCAUGCAGCAACACUUCGCUCAUCAGUGGAGGAAUGGGCAGCAUGGAGAAGUGUCUGAAGUAUAGACGGGGAAUGGCUUGGAAUCCGACGGGAGGCAGAUUCGCUGGCUGAUAUUGCGAUCCCCAGAAUCGCAGAUGCCCAGAUAUGCGAAUCCCGCGCAGAAUCUCACGGGCUUCAAGUGCUGAAGUUAUGGAGAAUGGAUGCGCAGUCUCGUUCUGAGGCACGAGAGGCGCAUUGACAGAAACUUCUGCGAAAGACCCCUCGUCAGUAUCACAGAGGGGUAACAUCCUGAUCUCACCACCCGGCAGAGCUUCACAGUGUGCGUAGCCGGUGUGGUUCUCAACUCCCUCGUAAAACGGGAGGUUUAUAUGAUCUCCGUCCUUAUCCAUUUCCAUAGGAGGAGGAGGAGUGUUCGAUCUGUCAUCGCAGCUUCGGCUCGGGCCGCGUACAAUUGGAAUGUCCUGAGUAUAGUCAAAGGGCUCAGGCACCCUUACAUCCUCCGCAGAGGGGAAGUGUAUCUUUCCUCGGCCACCCAUCCCAUAAAUGUGAUGAAUGGGGGCACUUGUACUGGCAGGCUUGUCGGAAGAAUCCCUAGCAUGCUUAGGGUGCUUCCUCUUUCUUUUCUUUGGCCUCUCAGAUUCAUCAUCCGGCCUAUCCACAUCCACCACCUCAACAGGUGGAAAGUCCUCAAUCUCAGCCCCCGAGUUUAGGGGCAACAUCGGCGAUUUAGGAGCUGAACUCGCCGAUGUUGGUAGGGAACUCGCCGAUCCGAGUUGAAUUACUCGGCGAGGUUUCCUAAACAUGGGGACGACCCCCUUGCCUUUGGCCGGCGACUUCCCAAGGGGACUCGCCGACUUAGCUGCAAGAGUCGGGGGGAUCUCACCCAGUUCAACAGUAGGCUCUACCACGAUAAGAGCCCUCGAGUUAUCCGUCAAACUCGCCGAGUUCUUUUGGGAACUCGGCGAGCCUUCCGGAGUUAGCCCGAGCAACUCGCGGGCAGUAGCCAAAAACCUGACGUCUUGCGGCGCGUCGACAACCGGAAUCUCCGACCCACCGCGCGAAGGCGAGGGAAUCGGAGACUCGACGGUGUCGAGCACCCCCGUCAGGCCUUCGUCUAUAUCCUCGUUCAAUAUGUCGACGACCAGAGCUUCGGUCUCUGACAUGGUAAGUCUAGGCAAUGACGGUUGGUCUGCCAUAUAUCGGCGAUAUAGGUGUAGACUCGGCGACUUUGGAAAGAGUUCUGGUGAUUGUAGUAAAAGUCGGCGAGUUAUGAAGAACCUCGGCGACUUAGAAAGGGAUUAGGGUUUAAGAAAAAUCAAGGUAAGUGGAGUGCGGAUUAAAAUAGCCGACUCUCUAUUUAUAGACCUUGGGCAAAUUGCAAAAAUUCCCCGGAGAAUCUACAAAUUACGCGAAGAAAAAUCGCUAAUUGAUCUCCAAAUCCGCAAACUCGGCGAGUCUCUCGAAAACUCGCCGAGUUUGAGCACAAAUCAAGGGAUACCAGGAGGAAAUUUCCAUACUUGGAAAAUUUGCAAAUAUUUCCCAAGAUCCUAAGGAUUCUCGAAGAGAUCCGCCAGCUCAUACUAAGACUCGCCGAGUUUAUAGGAAAAUCGCCGAUCCAGGUCAGCAAACCUCCAGACUUCUCAAAAAAUAUUACCAAUGCUAAGUCGGCGAGUUAGCACCUUAAGUCGCCUACUUAGGAUACAUACAGUAUCUUAGGGGGAAAAUCGCAAGCCCCCUUCCACAACCUCAGGGGGGAGUAUCACAAGCUCUCCCGACAUUUCUAUCGCUUUGGCUAGAGAUCGUCGAACUUCAGGGGGGAGUAUCACAAACUCUCCCGAUUUUUCUGUCGCUCCGGCCGGAAAUUGUCAAACCUCAGGGGGAGUAUCACAAACUCUCCUGACUUUUCUGUCGCUUCGGCCGGAAAUAGUCAAAAUUCGGGGGGGAGUAUCACAAGCUCUCCCGAUUUAGGGGGAAAAUCACAAGCCCCCUCCCACAACCUCAGGGGGGAGUAUCACAAACUCUCCCGACUUUUCUGUCGCUCCGGCCGGAAAUUGUCAAAAUUCAGGGGGGAGUAUCGCAAACUCUCCCGACUUUUCUGUCGCUCCGGCCGGAAAUUGUCAAACAUCAGGGGGGAGUAUCGCAAACUCUCCUGACUUUUCUGUCGCUUCGGCCGGAAAUAGUCAAAAUUCGGGGGGGAGUAUCACAAGCUCUCCCGACAUUUCUAUCGCUUUGGCUAGAGAUUGUCACCACUCAGGGGGGAGUAUCACAAGCUCUCCCGACACUUCUGUCGCUCUGGCCAGAAGUCGUUAUACAUAAACAUGGUCAGUCUGUCGCUUCGGCCAGAUUCACCAAGGAUUGGCUAAAGUAAGGAAAAGAGUAUCGCAAGAGGUAUUUUCGGUCAAUAAACAUAUGCGUUCUCAGACUGAUCUAGUUGUUUUGCAGGAUAUUUUCUUUUGUUAUUUUGCAGGUAAUAUUUUGUUUGGCCAGAAUAUUUUUUCUUUUUUGCAGGUAUUAUUCAGUCGCUUUGGCCAGAAUAAGACUCUAAUAGUGAGUCUAAGUAUCUUGUCGCAUUCUGCCUUGGUACACUAGAGAUCGUUCUGUCACUUUAGCCUUAACGAUUCUCAACCCAUCUUGUCGCUGAAAAGCCUUGAAGGGGGCCGUCGUUGCGGAUUUUAAGUCGCUCUUGAUCAGAGUGGACUCUAAACAUUAGUUCUAUCACUCCGGCUAGAACUUGGUUCUAUCGCUCUGGCAAGAACCCGAUUAUGUCGCUGAAUAGCCUUAAUCGAUUCCGUCGCUUUGGCCGGAAUUUAUCUUGUCGCUUCGGACUCGAUAACACAGUGCAGUCGCCUCUGAUCAGGGAAGGACUAUAAACAUGAGUUACCGUGGCCUGGAACUCGAUCCAUUUCUAGUCUCUUUGGCCUGUGGAUUCUGAAUCAUUACGUCACUCUGGGCGGA